rnacentral:misc_RNA from 1 species
CUUUUCAGCUAUCUUACUUCAUCUUCUUUCUAAAUGGUAUUUUGCAGCAAUGAGUUUCAAAAGUUGGUACAUGAGAAACGCUGGGGCGCACAGUUGGUAGGAAGUUUCACAGUUGAAGUUGGUGAUCAAGAUGAAGCUAUUCACAUCUGGGAAUAUGAUGGUGGCUACCCAGCACUAAACAAUGCCACAGUGAAGUAUCGUACUGAUAAGGACUUCUUGGAGUUCCGAUCAAAGCGUAACAAGAUGUUACGUUCUCGACGUAACCAGAUUUUGUUACGUUUUAGCUUUUGGCCACGUGAAACACCAACACCCGACCGCAGUCACAUCUAUGAGUUGCGUAGUUAUGUGUUGAAGCCUGGUACCAUGAUUGAGUGGGGUAACAAUUGGGCUCGUGGUAUCCAGCAUCGGCGCACCAACAAUGAAGCCGUUGCAGGCUUCUUUUCGUCCAUCGGACACCUGUAUACAGCUCACCACUUGUGGGGGCGCGCGGCAUUCGGCACCGACCUGGGGCUGUAGCUGGCUUGUUCAGCCAUCUUGGGACACUGUACAAUGUGCACCAUUUGUGGGCAUAUGAAGACCUCCAGACGAGGAAGGAAACACGUGAGGCAGCUUGGCGGCGACCAGGAUGGGAUGAGUGUGUGGCAUAUACAG